rnacentral:rRNA from 1 species
CGGGACGGGUGAGUAAUGUCUGGGAAACGUCUCGAUGGAGGGGGAUAACUACUGGAAACGGUAGCUAAUACCGCAUAACGUCGCAAGACCAAAGAGGGGGACCUUAGGGCCUCUUGCCAUCGGAUGUGCCCAGAUGGGAUUAGCUAGUAGGUGGGGUAACGGCUCACCUAGACGACGAUCCCUAGCUGGUCUGAGAGGAUGACCAGCCACACUGGAACUGAGACACGGUCCAG